GCCAGCAGCCAUAUCACUCUGCAACUCACAACUGGCAACCCACUGAAGCUCAGCAGGUGUGAGCCUGGUCAGUACCUGGAUGGGAGACCUCCUGGUAAAAACUAAGGUUGUUGCUGGAA
rnacentral:rRNA from 1 species